rnacentral:rRNA from 1 species
GUGCAGUCGAGCGGAUGACGGGAGCUUGCUCCUUGAUUCGCGGCGGACGGGUGAGUAAUGCCUAGGAAUCUGCCUGGUAGUGGGGGACAACGUUUCGAAAGAACGCUAAUACCGCAUACGUCCUACGGGAGAAAGCAGGGGACCUUCGGGCCUUGCGCUAUCAGAUGAGCCUAGGUCGGAUUAGCUAGUUGGUGGGGUAAUGGCUCACCAAGGCGACGAUCCGUAACUGGUCUGAGAGGAUGAUCAGUCACACUGGAACUGAGACACGGUCCAGACUCCUACGGGAGGCAGCAGUGGGGAAUAUUGGACAAUGGGCGAAAGCCUGAUCCAGCCAUGCCGCGUGUGUGAAGAAGGUCUUCGGAUUGUAAAGCACUUUAAGUUGGGAGGAAGGGCAGUAAGCUAAUACCUUGCUGUUUUGACGUUACCGACAGAAUAAGCACCGGCUAACUCUGUGCCAGCAGCCGCGGUAAUACAGAGGGUGCAAGCGUUAAUCGGAAUUACUGGGCGUAAAGCGCGCGUAGGUGGUUCGUUAAGUUGGAUGUGAAAGCCCCGGGCUCAACCUGGGAACUGCAUCCAAAACUGGCGAGCUAGAGUACGGUAGAGGGUGGUGGAAUUUCCUGUGUAGCGGUGAAAUGCGUAGAUAUAGGAAGGAACACCAGUGGCGAAGCGACCACCUGGACUGAUACUGACACUGAGUGCGAAAGCGUGGGAGCAAACAGGAUUAGAUACCCUGGUAGUCCACGCCGUAAACGAUGUCAACUAGCGUUGGAAUCCUUGAGAUUUUAGUGGCGCAGCUAACGCAUUAAGUUGACCGCCUGGGGGUACGGCCGCAGGUUAAAACUCAAAUGAAUUGAGGGGCCCGCACAAGCGGUGGAGCAUGUGGUUAAUUCGAAGCACGCGAAAUACCGUGACUGCAAAACUUUCAAGAUUGGUGGUCUGACCUGCAGGCGCAGCUGGGAUGGCCAAAUUGGUAGUAGGGGCACAAUCCG